rnacentral:rRNA from 1 species
CAGUCGCCACGGGAAUACGGAGGGGGCUAGCGUUGUUCGGAAUUACUGGGCGUAAAGCGCACGUAGGCGGCUUGGUAAGUUAGAGGUGAAAGCCCGGAGCUCAACUCCGGAAUUGCCUUUAAGACUGCCGAGCUAGUAGGUGAGAGAGGUAAGUGGAAUUCCGAGUGUAGAGGUGAAAUUCGUAGAUAUUCGGAGGAACACCGAUGGCGAAGGCAGCCCCCUGGGCCAAUACUGACGCUCAUGCACGAAAGCGUGGGGAGCAAACAGGAUUAGAUACCCCAGUAGUCCCUGUCUCUUAUAC